CGGGACCGCACAAGCGGUGGAUGAUGUGGUUUAAUUCGAUGCAAGCGAAAACCUUACCCACCUUUGACAUGGCAGGAAUCCUAAAGAGAUUUGGGAGUGCUCGAAAGAGAACCUGCACACAGGUGCUGCAUGGCUGUCGUCAGCUCGUGUCGUGAGAUGUUGGGUUAAGUCCCGCAACGAGCGCAACCCUUGCCAUUAGUUGCUACGAAAGGGCACUCUAAUGGGACUGCCGGUGACAAACCGGAGGAAGGUGGGGAUGACGUCAAGUCCUCAUGGCCCUUAUAGGUGGGGCUACACACGUCAUACAAUGGCCGGUACAGAGGGUAGCCAACCCGCGAGGGGGAGCCAAUCCCACAAAGCCGGUCGUAGUCCGGAUCGCAGUCUGCAACUCGACUGCGUGAAGUCGGAAUCGCUAGUAAUCGUGGAUCAGAAUGUCACGGUGAAUACGUUCCCGGGUCUU
rnacentral:rRNA from 1 species